rnacentral:rRNA from 1 species
GACGAACGCUGGCGGCGUGCUUAACACAUGCAAGUCGAACGGAAAGGCCCUGCUUUUGUGGGGUGCUCGAGUGGCGAACGGGUGAGUAACACGUGAGUAACCUGCCCUUGACUUUGGGAUAACUUCAGGAAACUGGGGCUAAUACCGGAUAGGAGCUCCUGCUGCAUGGUGGGGGUUGGAAAGUUUCGGCGGUUGGGGAUGGACUCGCGGCUUAUCAGCUUGUUGGUGGGGUAGUGGCUUACCAAGGCUUUGACGGGUAGCCGGCCUGAGAGGGUGACUGGCCACAUUGGGACUGAGAUACGGCCCAGACUCCUACGGGAGGCAGCAGUGGGGAAUAUUGCACAAUGGGCGGAAGCCUGAUGCAGCAACGCCGCGUGCGGGAUGACGGCCUUCGGGUUAUAAACCGCUUUCGCCUGUGACGAAGCGUGAGUGACGGUAAUGGGUAAAGAAGCACCGGCUAACUACGUG